rnacentral:rRNA from 1 species
GACGAACGCUGGCGGCGUGCUUAACACAUGCAAGUCGAACGGUGAAGCGCCUUCCUUUUUGGUGGGUGUGGAUGAGUGGCGAACGGAUGAGUAACACGUGAGUAACCUGCCCCCUUCUUCUGGAUAACCGCAUGAAAGUGUGGCUAAUACGGGAUAUUCUGGGUCUGUCGCAUGAUGGGUCUGGGAAAGAUAUUGUUUCGGUGGGGGAUGGGCUCGCGGCCUAUCAGCUUGUUGGUGGGGUGAUGGCCUACCAAGGCGGUGACGGGUAGCCGGCCUGAGAGGGUGGACGGUCACACUGGGACUGAGACACGGCCCAGACUCCUACGGGAGGCAGCAGUGGGGAAUAUUGCACAAUGGGCGCAAGCCUGAUGCAGCGACGCCGCGUGAGGGAUGGAGGCCUUCGGGUUGUGAACCUCUUUCGCCAGUGAAGCAGGCCUGCCUCGUUUGUGGGUGGGUUGACGGUAGCUGGAUAAGAAGCGCCGGCUAACUACGUG